GUGCAGCAGUCGCGAAAACUUCACAAUGUGCGAAAGCACGAUGAGGGAAUCCCAAGUGCUUGCACGUAAGUGUAAGCUGUUUCUCUGUCUAAAACGCAGAGAGAGUAAGGGCUGGGUAAGACGGGUGCCAGCCGCCGCGGUAAUACCUGCAGCUCGAGUGGUGACCGUUAUUAUUGGGCCUAAAACGUCCGUAGCCGGUUUAAUAAAUGCCUGGGUAAAUCGGACCGCUUAACGGUUCAAGUUCCGGGUAGACUGUUAAACUUGAGACCGGGAGAAGUUAGAGGUACUCCUGGGGUAGAGGUGAAAUUCUGUAAUCCUAGGGGGACCACCAGUGGCGAAGGCGUCUAACUAGAACGGGUCUGACGGUGAGGGACGAAGCCCUGGGGCGC
rnacentral:rRNA from 1 species